rnacentral:rRNA from 1 species
GACGAACGCUGGCGGCGUGCCUAAUACAUGCAAGUAGAACGCUGAAGAGAGGAGCUUGCUCUUCUUGGAUGAGUUGCGAACGGGUGAGUAACGCGUAGGUAACCUGCCUUGUAGCGGGGGAUAACUAUUGGAAACGAUAGCUAAUACCGCAUAACAAUGGAUGACACAUGUCAUUUAUUUGAAAGGGGCAAUUGCUCCACUACAAGAUGGACCUGCGUUGUAUUAGCUAGUAGGUGAGGUAACGGCUCACCUAGGCGACGAUACAUAGCCGACCUGAGAGGGUGAUCGGCCACACUGGGACUGAGACACGGCCCAGACUCCUACGGGAGGCAGCAGUAGGGAAUCUUCGGCAAUGGGGGCAACCCUGACCGAGCAACGCCGCGUGAGUGAAGAAGGUUUUCGGAUCGUAAAGCUCUGUUGUAAGUCAAGAACGAGUGUGAGAGUGGGAAGUUCACACUGUGACGGUAGCUUACCAGAAAGGGACGGCUAACUACGUGCCAGCAGCCGCGGUAAUACGUAGGUCCCGAGCGUUGUCCGGAUUUAUUGGGCGUAAAGCGAGCGCAGACGGUUUGAUAAGUCUGAAGUUAAGGCUGUGGCUCAACCAUAGUUCGCUUUGGAAACUGUCAAACUUGAGUGCAGAAGGGGAGAGUGGAAUUCCAUGUGUAGCGGUGAAAUGCGUAGAUAUAUGGAGGAACACCGGUGGCGAAAGCGGCUCUCUGGUCUGUAACUGACGCUGAGGCUCGAAAGCGUGGGGAGCGAACAGGAUUAGAUACCCUGGUAGUCCACGCCGUAAACGAUGAGUGCUAGGUGUUGGAUCCUUUCCGGGAUUCAGUGCCGCAGCUAACGCAUUAAGCACUCCGCCUGGGGAGUACGACCGCAAGGUUGAAACUCAAAGGAAUUGACGGGGGCCCGCACAAGCGGUGGAGCAUGUGGUUUAAUUCGAAGCAACGCGAAGAACCUUACCAGGUCUUGACAUCCCGAUGCUAUUUCUAGAGAUAGAAAGUUACUUCGGUACAUCGGUGACAGGUGGUGCAUGGUUGUCGUCAGCUCGUGUCGUGAGAUGUUGGGUUAAGUCCCGCAACGAGCGCAACCCCUAUUGUUAGUUGCCAUCAUUCAGUUGGGCACUCUAGCGAGACUGCCGGUAAUAAACCGGAGGAAGGUGGGGAUGACGUCAAAUCAUCAUGCCCCUUAUGACCUGGGCUACACACGUGCUACAAUGGUUGGUACAACGAGUUGCGAGUCGGUGACGGCAAGCUAAUCUCUUAAAGCCAAUCUCAGUUCGGAUUGUAGGCUGCAACUCGCCUACAUGAAGUCGGAAUCGCUAGUAAUCGCGGAUCAGCACGCCGCGGUGAAUACGUUCCCGGGCCU